GCUUGGUUAGCUUAGUUGGUAGUGCGUCUGCCUUGUAAGCGCUAGGCCGUGGGUUCGAUUCCCGCCCGGGGCG
rnacentral:tRNA from 1 species